UGAACGCUGGCGGCAUGCUUUACACAUGCAAGUCGGACGGCAGCACAGAGAAGCUUGCUUCUUGGGUGGCGAGUGGCGAACGGGUGAGUAAUAUAUCGGAACGUACCGAGUAAUGGGGGAUAACUAAUCGAAAGAUUAGCUAAUACCGCAUAUUCUCUGAGGAGGAAAGCAGGGGACCUUCGGGCCUUGCGUUAUUCGAGCGGCCGAUAUCUGAUUAGCUAGUUGGUGGGGUAAAGGCCUACCAAGGCGACGAUCAGUAGCGGGUCUGAGAGGAUGAUCCGCCACACUGGGACUGAGACACGGCCCAGACUCCUACGGGAGGCAGCAGUGGGGAAUUUUGGACAAUGGGCGCAAGCCUGAUCCAGCCAUGCCGCGUGUCUGAAGAAGGCCUUCGGGUUGUAAAGGACUUUUGUCAGGGAAGAAAAGGUUGUUGCUAAUAUCGACAGCCGA
rnacentral:rRNA from 1 species